rnacentral:ncRNA from 1 species
CCUUCCACCCUCGUGAUCGUCUUCUCACCUUUCCCGGGGGCGGAGGACGGCGGGGCCCCUGUGUGGACGUGACACGCAGGGGCCCCGC